GAUGAACGCUGGCGGCGUGCCUAAUACAUGCAGGUCGAGCGAACGGACGAGAAGCUUGCUUCUCUGAUGUUAGCGGCGGACGGGUGAGUAACACGUGGAUAACCUACCUAUAAGACUGGGAUAACUUCGGGAAACCGGAGCUAAUACUGGAUAAUAUUUUGAACCGCAUGGUUCAAAAGUGAAAGACGGUCUUGCUGUCACUUAUAGAUGGAUCCGCGCUGCAUUAGCUAGUUGGUAAGGUAACGGCUUACCAAGGCAACGAUGCAUAGCCGACCUGAGAGGGUGAUCGGCCACACUGGAACUGAGACACGGUCCAGACUCCUACGGGAGGCAGCAGUAGGGAAUCUUCCGCAAUGGGCGAAAGCCUGACGGAGCAACGCCGCGUGAGUGAUGAAGGUCUUCGGAUCGUAAAACUCUGUUAUUAGGGAAGAACAUAUGUGUAAGUAACUGUGCACAUCUUGACGGUACCUAAUCAGAAAGCCACGGCUAACUACGUG
rnacentral:rRNA from 1 species